GACGAACGCUGGCGGCGUGCUUAACACAUGCAAGUCGAACGGAAAGGCCCUGCUUUUGUGGGGUGCUCGAGUGGCGAACGGGUGAGUAACACGUGAGUAACCUGCCCUUGACUUUGGGAUAACUUCAGGAAACUGGGGCUAAUACCGGAUAGGAGCUCCUGCUGCAUGGUGGGGGUUGGAAAGUUUCGGCGGUUGGGGAUGGACUCGCGGCUUAUCAGCUUGUUGGUGGGGUAGUGGCUUACCAAGGGUUUGACGGGUAGCCGGCCUGAGAGGGUGACCGGCCACAUUGGGACUGAGAUACGGCCCAGACGCCUACGGGAGGCAGCAGUGGGGAAUAUUGCACAAUGGGCGGAAGCCUGAUGCAGCAACGCCGCGUGCGGGAUGACGGCCUUCGGGUUGUAAACCGCUUUCGCCUGUGACGAAGCGUGAGUGACGGUAAUGAGUAAAGAAGCACCGGCUAACUACGUG
rnacentral:rRNA from 1 species